UAAUAAGCAUAGAAAAGAGCAGUUACUUGACAUAACUACUCAAUGUAAAACCGUUUCAGGCGGUGGCUUUUGUUAUUAGAUAAAAAA
rnacentral:sRNA from 1 species